rnacentral:rRNA from 1 species
UACGGAGGGUGCAAGCGUUGUCCGGAUUUAUUGGGUUUAAAGGGCGCGUAGGCGGCGGCUCAAGUCCGGGGUGAAAGCCCCCAGCUCAACUGGGGAAGGGCCUCGGAAACUGGGUCGCUGGAGGGAGGUAGGGGCAGGGGGAACUUCUGGUGGAGCGGUGAAAUGCGUUGAUAUCAGAAGGAACGCCGGUGGCGAAAGCGCCCUGCUGGACCUCUACUGACGCUGAGGCGCGAAAGCCAGGGGAGCAAACGGG